AUUAUUGUUUUCUCGUACGGCACCAUCUAUUUUGUCAUGGCUGGACGUACAUUCGUUCGAAGAGCGAAACGUUGCAAAGUAUUAUAAUAUUCUUUAUCAAUUAUAAAAAAAAUAUUUCAAAUCAUCUUAUCAAUAAAUUAUCAACACACAAAAUGAUAGUGAACACCGAACCUGCAUGAUACAAGAAAUAUAAUAUCAAAAAAUACAUUAUUGAGAUUUGACAAUUUAUAUAAGUUAAAACAUCGAUGACGAGUAGGUAGGUAAUGAAUGACGUGUUUCUUUGUUUUUUAAGCCUCCAUAGUUCAGGCUUCAAUAAACAUAUUUUUAAGCAAUGUUUGCUAAUCAAAUAGUAGUUAAAACAGUAAAAAUGUAUAACUUAAAUAUUUUAAUUUUAAACAAAUAUGAUACUGUACUGUAUUGCCGAAUCUAUAUAUUAUGGUGCCAGUAUAGCAUGCGACACAAAAUUAGCUAAAUUGAUAACAUAUAAAAAAACACUAACUGUUUACCUAUAUCAAGUAAAAAACAUUUGGAUUCAAAAUACAAUAUAAAAUAUAAACAUACAUGAUUUAAAAGGAUCUAGAUGUCACUGUUAAAGAAUACAACACAACCUUGUACUGUAAUAAGCUUCCAAACCAAUAAAAACAAUUGAUUAAAAAUUCUAAAAAAAAAUGUUGGAUUCAAAUACCAAAGUAUACUGAAGCAUGUAAUAUACUAGUAAUUGAACAAAUUGUCUUCAUUAAAUGUUUAUGAAGUGCAGUUCUUAGCCCUAAUACUAAACUCAAUAAAUGUGUUGUAAUGGACAUUAAUGUUAUGGAAUACCUAUAAAUACCAACAUGUUCCUACACAUCUCAAAUAAAAAGCAAAAUGGCUGUUUCCCUGUUAUUGUACAAAGUCCUCCCGGCCGACGAAAAUUCUUCAACCAGCCAAACAUGACUCGGAUACUCAAUGCAUUUUGUCCGAGACCGCUGACCAGCUCCAUUAAGUCUCAACCCGAGGAAGCAUACCACACCGGCACCUCGUUUUCGACCGUUUUUUCAUCGUAUCCAAUAUAUUUUGAUGCCAUCGUAUAGUACAACCAUAAUUACCUGAACAACAACAAUAAGUGCCCUGGCGGGCGUAGCAGCGACAAACGACAAUCCAUUGGAUACAACUCAAUUCACCUGUUGUCAAGUAUACUCUCCCCUUAACCUUCCCAUUUUUUGCAACGCGGUCCGUUGUAUUCAAACAAAUAUUAAAAUAUUUUUUCUUACAGAAAACUAUACAAAUUUAAUGAAUCAUAUUUUGCGCAAUGCACGAGUAUCCAGUGGAACCUAAACGCAAAAAUACCAUAAUAUUAGCUGUCAUGUUAAAAUAUAUCCAGAUUUAUCCUCAUAAUCCCCAAAUUGUAUUAUAUACAAAUGUAUUUGCCAUGUUGCCCCCAAUUAUCAUAUUCCCAUGACUGAUAUUUUAUAUUAUUAUUAUCCCCCCCCCCCCCCAAAAAAAAAACCUAUUAUAUUAUUUGUUGUUUUGAUGCCAUGUAAAAUAAAACCACUUAAUUACCUUUAAGAAAACUCUUUUUAUUAUUAUUGGUGUCACCUAUUCUCAGAUAUAAUUAAUAUUAUUAAUUUCAAAUAAAGUCACUAUGCAGAAAAAAAAUAAAGUACUUUGUCUUAAAAAUUUCUUAUGUAAAUUGACCUGACAACUAAAUUAUGUUUCUUCAAUAUUCAAACAAUGUUAAAAUUUUAGUAAUAAUAUUAUAAAGAAUAUUAUAAUAACAUUUUUUAAAGAUUCAUUAAAAUUAUGAUAAAAUUAUCAUGGUAAAAAAAUUAUGUUUCUAUAAUGUUGUUUCAUAACAUUAUAAGCAAUAUAUAGCUUUUUAACAUUUCCACUUAAACAUUAAUGUUUUAGAUAUUUUAAUAAUGUACUAAUAUUCAGAAAACAUUUUCACAAGUACAAAGAAAUAUAAAAAUCAAAUAUUAUAUUUAAACAAUAAGCUGUAAGUUUAAUUAUAAUAUAUCAUUCUUGUUGAUUAAUUUUUAAUAUAAAUGAACACAAUUUAAUUAGGUUGUUUUGAAUUUUGAAUUUAUUUUUAAUGCGAAACGUCGCAUGUGUCAAGGCAGUUGUGUUAUGUUUAUAACAUAUUAUGUUUUUUCGGAAUAUUAUUGUACUUGAUGUUCGUUAUAAUUGGCAGUUGCAUCUGAACAAAUUGUUUAUAACUUUUAUUUAAUUUAAAUGUUUAAAUAUAUUAUUUGUUGUAGUAAACAAUAUGGUAUUAUAAUUUAUAUUUUAUAUUUAUUUUACACAGAUGACAUUUAAUUUAUAUUAGACAUUAUUUAUGUUAUACACAGAUAAAAUUAAAUUUAUAGUACCUACACAUUGUAAAUAAGUUACAUUCCUCCAUCAAGACUACAAUAUGCAAUUGGAGUUAAUUAAAUUGGUAAAUUUACUACCAUUAUUGUGAUUUUCUUUAUUAGUAAUUUUUAAUUAAGGCACCCGGUGCUGGCUAUUUAUUAAGGAGCAAAUUAUUGGCAACCUAAUUGACAUAUCGUUACGUGGUCGCACGAUCUCGUGAGUGUGUACUGUGUGUUUGUGCAGUAGUGUAGAUGGUUACGCCCACGCACUCAAUACAUGUCAGGAGGUAAUAAAAUAUAGUUGACCGUUUAGGGUAUUUCAGCGGACAAUAACAACUUCACAGGAAUAUGGAUAACUCGUGGACAACUGAAUAUUUUCAGAUAAUUAAA